AGGACAGAACACCGAGCAAAAAUGCCUUAUACCGAUGCAGUAAUUCAUGAAGUUCAAAGGUUUGCUGACAUUGUUCCAGUCAGUGUGCCACAUGCAGCCAGCAUGGACAUCACUUUCAAAGGCUUCUUCAUUCCCAAGGGCAUGCAGAUUAUUCCACUGCUGUCAUCAGUGCUCCAUGAUGAAUCUCAGUGGGAGAAACCUCAUGAAUUCUAUCCUGAGCAUUUUCUUGAUUCUGAGGGAAAAUUUCUG